rnacentral:rRNA from 1 species
GUGAGGAAUAUUGGUCAAUGGGCGGGAGCCUGAACCAGCCAAGUCGCGUGAAGGAAGAAGGAUCUAUGGUUCGUAAACUUCUUUUGCAGGGGAAUAAAGUGCAGGACGUGUCCUGUUUUGUAUGUACCCUGAGAAUAAGGAUCGGCUAACUCCGUGCCAGCAGCCGCGGUAAUACGGAGGAUCCGAGCGUUAUCCGGAUUUAUUGGGUUUAAAGGGUGCGUAGGUGGUUUGAUAAGUCAGCGGUGAAAGUUUGCAGCUUAACUGUAAAAAUGCCGUUGAAACUGUCGGACUUGAGUGUAAAUGAGGUAGGCGGAAUGCGUGGUGUAGCGGUGAAAUGCAUAGAUAUCACGCAGAACUCCGAUUACGAAGGCAGCUUACUAAGCUACAACUGACACUGAAGCACGAAAGCGUGGGGAUCAAACAGGAUUAGAAACCCUUGUAGUCC